rnacentral:misc_RNA from 1 species
GCUGAAGAACGCAGCGAAACGCGAUAGUUAAUGUGAAUUGCAGAAUUCAGUGAAUCAUCGAGUCUUUGAACGCACAUUGCGCCUUUUGGUAUUCCGAGAGGCACGUCUGUUUGAGCGUCAGCAAAACCUCUCAGGUGUCCCGGUUUUGUUACCGGGGUGCGCGGGCAUGCUGGCGCGGGGAUGCGGCUGCCGCGCUUCGGUGCGGGCGGGCCUUCCCCCGCUUAAAGGUGUGGAAGCUAGCGGGGUGCGCCCCGGAUCGCGACGACUCGUAAGCCAUCACCGUCGAAGGCAUCCGGACGCCCCCACCUCCAAACUCGGUGGCACCUCGGUGCCCCUCAAACCCUUGACCUCAGAUCAGACGAGGAUACCCGCUGAACUUAAGCAUAUCAAUAAGCGGAGGA